UGGGGAAUAUUGGACAAUGGGCGCAAGCCUGAUCCAGCCAUGCCGCGUGAGUGAUGAAGGCCCUAGGGUUGUAAAGCUCUUUUAUCCGGGAAGAUGAAGACGGUACCGGAAGAAUAAGCUCCGGCUAACUUCGUGCCAGCAGCCGCGGUAAUACGAAGGGAGCAAGCGUUGUUCGGAAUUACUGGGCGUAAAGCGUGCGUAGGUGGAUAUGUAAGUCAGGGGUGAAAUCCCGGAGCUCAACUCCGGAACUGCCUCUGAAACUAUAUAUCUUGAGUCUCGGAGGGGAUGGUGGAAUUUCUAAUGUAGCGGUGAAAUGCGUAGAGAUUAGAAGGAACACCGGUGGCGAAGGC
rnacentral:rRNA from 1 species